rnacentral:rRNA from 1 species
GACGAACGCUGGCGGCGUGCCUAAUACAUGCAAGUAGAACGCUGAAGAGAGGAGCUUGCUCUUCUUGGAUGAGUUGCGAACGGGUGAGUAACGCGUAGGUAACCUGCCUUGUAGCGGGGGAUAACUAUUGGAAACGAUAGCUAAUACCGCAUAACAAUGGAUGACACAUGUCAUUUAUUUGAAAGGGGCAAUUGCUCCACUACAAGAUGGACCUGCGUUGUAUUAGCUAGUAGGUGAGGUAAUGGCUCACCUAGGCGACGAUACAUAGCCGACCUGAGAGGGUGAUCGGCCACACUGGGACUGAGACACGGCCCAGGCUCCUACGGGAGGCAGCAGUAGGGAAUCUUCGGCAAUGGGGGCAACCCUGACCGAGCAACGCCGCGUGAGUGAAGAAGGUUUUCGGAUCGUAAAGCUCUGUUGUAAGUCAAGAACGGGUGUGAGAGUGGAAAGUUCACACUGUGACGGUAGCUUACCAGAAAGGGACGGCUAACUACGUGCCAGCAGCCGCGGUAAUACGUAGGUCCCGAGCGUUGUCCGGAUUUAUUGGGCGUAAAGCGAGCGCAGGCGGUUUGAUAAGUCUGAAGUUAAAGGCUGUGGCUCAACCAUAGUUCGCUUUGGAAACUGUCAAACUUGAGUGCAGAAGGGGAGAGUGGAAUUCCAUGUGUAGCGGUGAAAUGCGUAGAUAUAUGGAGGAACACCGGUGGCGAAAGCGGCUCUCUGGUCUGUAACUGACGCUGAGGCUCGAAAGCGUGGGGAGCGAACAGGAUUAGAUACCCUGGUAGUCCACGCCGUAAACGAUGAGUGCUAGGUGUUGGAUCCUUUCCGGGAUUCAGUGCCGCAGCUAACGCAUUAAGCACUCCGCCUGGGGAGUACGACCGCAAGGUUGAAACUCAAAGGAAUUGACGGGGGCCCGCACAAGCGGUGGAGCAUGUGGUUUAAUUCGAAGCAACGCGAAGAACCUUACCAGGUCUUGACAUCCCGAUGCUAUUUCUAGAGAUAGAAAGUUACUUCGGUACAUCGGUGACAGGUGGUGCAUGGUUGUCGUCAGCUCGUGUCGUGAGAUGUUGGGUUAAGUCCCGCAACGAGCGCAACCCCUAUUGUUAGUUGCCAUCAUUCAGUUGGGCACUCUAGCGAGACUGCCGGUAAUAAACCGGAGGAAGGUGGGGAUGACGUCAAAUCAUCAUGCCCCUUAUGACCUGGGCUACACACGUGCUACAAUGGUUGGUACAACGAGUUGCGAGUCGGUGACGGCGAGCUAAUCUCUUAAAGCCAAUCUCAGUUCGGAUUGUAGGCUGCAACUCGCCUACAUGAAGUCGGAAUCGCUAGUAAUCGCGGAUCAGCACGCCGCGGUGAAUACGUUCCCGGGCCU